UACGUAGGUGGCAAGCGUUGUCCGGAUUUAUUGGGUUUAAAGGGUGCGUAGGCGGCCCUGUAAGUCAGUGCUGAAAUAUCCCAGCUUAACUGGGAGGGUGGCAUUGAUACUGCGGGGCUAGAGUACAGAUGAGGUAGGCGGAAUUGACGGUGUAGCGGUGAAAUGCUUAGAUAUCGUCAAGAACACCUAUAGCGAAGGCAGCUUACUAGGCUGUAACUGACGUUGAGGCACGAAAGUGUGGGGAUCAAACAGG
rnacentral:rRNA from 1 species